rnacentral:tRNA from 1 species
ACGCUACGGACUUAUUAUUGAAUCAUUCAUAGUUCAUAUCCCUUACAAAUAAAGGUUUAAAAA